UCUCCAGUCUCUCCUCUCUCUCUCUCCAGUCUCUCCUCUCUCUCUCUCCAGUCUCUCUCUCUCUCCAGUCUCUCUCUCUCUCUCUCUCCAGUCUCUCGCUCUCUCUCUCUCUCUCCAGUCUCUCUCUCUCUCCAGUCUCUCCUCUCUCUCUCUCCAGUCUCUCCUCUCUCUCUCUCCAGUCUCUCUCUCUCUCCAGUCUCUCUCUCUCUCUCUCCAGUCUCUCGCUCUCUCUCUCUCACAGAUAGUCUACGGUGUUUUGAAUGUGGGGAUUUGGGGCACAAGAGUUUUGCGUGCCCACAUAAAGGCCAUAGACAAGGUGAGGGUACAAGCGCAAGUGGGGGAAAUCGAGGUCAAAAUGCAGGGGGUAAGGAGAUGCAGACAGCAGAGGCUGGGCCUAGUCAGGCUAGAGAUGGUAGGGUAGUGGAGGCUGGGUCUAGUCAGGCUAGAGAUGGUAGGGUAGUGGAGGCUGGGUCUAGUCAGGCUAGAGAUGGUGGAGAAGCAGAGGCUGGGUCUAGUAUGCUAGAGAUGGUGGGGUAGCUGAGGCUGGGCCUAGACAUGCUAUGGAGGGUGGUGCAGAUGAUGCUGCGUCUAGUCAGGUUAUUCUAGUGGAUGAGGAGAGUAUAGUGGGGAAGUGUAAGAGAUUAGGGGGGGAGGAGGAGGGUGUCAAGAGGAAAAGGAAAAAGGGUGUGGACAAAGGCACCAUGGAAAUGUUGCCUGUUGCUGUGGGUGAGGCC
ensembl:lncRNA